UUGAAUGUUCUUAACAGCGCAGAGAUAGCUAUGUUACUAUUCAUCACCAUACCCUAAAGAUAGCAUCACGCAUAAAGUGAAGUAUAAAAACGGCAUUAUUACGAACACAAGCGAUGCCGAAUGUGAUGGAGAUGUAGGAGUUGCCAGCAGCUAAGGGAAAAGUAUGUUAUUGUAUUAGUACAUAACACUUUGAUAUAUGACUACCCUUUGUGGGUCGGUGGUUUAUUCUCCUUUUGUUUUUUUUACUGUCACCCAAAAUAAAAUACAUAUUAUAUCCAUUUCACUUAUUGUAUUGUGUUUCAGUGUGAGGUGACUUUUUUUUUUUUGUGUUCAUAGAUGCCGUUUUUUUUUAUUUUAACUGAACUUUUUCUUAUCAACUCCCCUAACUAGUAAUUGGGCAGUGACUUAGACCAGUGAGUAUAGUAUUCUGAUAUGCAAUAGGAGGGGAAAAAGCAGCCAUGUAAAUGAAUUGUUGCUGCUAGAAAAGUAAGUCUAUGGUAUUAGUUAGUCUGGCACCAGUGAGUUUUGUCAUUUGGUAUUGAAGGCAAAAUAUGUAGCAUUGUCUUUCCAUCUUUAACAGCCAACCCAAUUUGAUACCUGAGAAGUUGUGCGUUUAGUGUGAAUUUUUAUUCAAACUUGGACAUGGCUUGGGCUCUGAAUAUAUAUAUGAUUACUUGGUACCUAAUGACACUGGUGAUAUUGGGUAAUACACAUUUGUUGCAGCGUAAUGCAGUCCUAGAUUUUACCAACUUUGUGCUGCAACCUGUGCAACCAUCCAUUUUAUUGCAGGAUCCUAGCUUUACAAACAAAGUCAGCUUCCUAAGGCUUCACAUAUGGCAAUAGAGGAAAGUUUGGUUAGGACAUGUUUAAUGCUUAUUGUUUUGAGAUUAUAUGAAUUUAUAAUGAUGAACACCUGGUCAUUUAACUUGGAGAGUUACGUGUAGAGGUCUGCAACUGACCACUGUUACUUCUUCUGAAUUCCCCCCAUUGUCUUAACACAUGGGAAAGCCUUUGUUGCUGCAACUCCCAAGCUGCGUCAGAAAGUAGACUGUAUGAGACAUACCACAAAUUUUAAGAAAAUAUAUCCUAACAACAGACAGCAGUAGAGGUGAUGUUUGAAGUGCAGAGCAUAACCCAUCGUGUGAAAUGCGCUAUAACGCGCAAUUGUAUAUCGAAUGUGAGAAAAAAAGAGGAAGAGGAACACGGGCGUACACAUGCAUUUCCAUGAGACUUCCCUGGCCUAUUGGUAAACUCUAAUGGCAGGAAUGUUUUUCUAUAUUUUUAGGGAAUUCAUUCUUUAAAAAUCUUGAUUGGAUGAAUAAUAGAUUUUGGAAAAACAAAAACAAAAAAAUAAUCCAAAAACCACAAACAAUGAUCCUCUAAAAUAUGUUCUUUAGUUUUUGUAGGUUACCUUUCCUUCUUUCUAUAGGGCAUCUGCCACGUAUUUUUCUUUCAUUUUUCUCCAAAAUUAAAACAUCAUUUAUUGUUCUUGUAAUUUGUUUUUUUUUUUUGCAGAUAUGCUUCAAUAAAUUAUUUUUUCCU